rnacentral:rRNA from 1 species
UACGUAGGAGACGAGCGUUGUCCGGAGUUACUGGGCGUAAAGGGUGCGCAGGUGGCGGCGCGCGUGGGGGGUGAAAUCGCCCGGCUUAACUGGGCGGGGGCCUUCCAGACGGCGUGGCUUGAGCAGCGGAGGGGGACGUGGAAUUCCGGGUGGAGCGGUGAAAUGCGUAGAGAUGCGGAGGAACACCGAUGGCGAAGGCAGCCCCCUGGGCUGACACUGACGCUCAGGCGCGAAAGCGUGGGGAGCGAACAGG